AGUGAACGCUGGCGGUAUGCCUAACACAUGCAAGUCGAACGACAACACAAUAAGAUCUUUCCCUUACGGGUGGCGGCUGGCGGACGGGUGAGAAAUACAUCAGAAUCUUCUUUUACGUGGGGGACAUCGUAGGGAAACUUACACUACUGCCUCAUAUGUCCUACGGCUGAAAUCAGGAGUUCUUCGCGCUUUGGCCGACUGUAUUAGCCGGCGUCGCAUUAGCUAGUUGGCAAGGUAAAGGCCCACCAAGGCGACGAUACGUAGCUGAUCUGAGAGGAUGAUCGGCCACACUGGAACUGAGACACGGUCCAGACUCCUACGGGAGGCAGCAGUAGGGAAUCUUGGGCAAUGGGCGCAAGCUUGAUCGAGCCAUACCGCGUGAGUGAAGAAGGUCUUCGGAUUGUAAAACUCUUUUAUUGGGAAAGAAAAGAAGCGGGAUAAUACCCCGCUGUUCUGACGGUACCCAAAGAGUAAGCCCCGGCUAACUUCGUG
rnacentral:rRNA from 1 species